UUCAAGUGGGCCCGUUUUGGAAAAAUGGGACCCUGGAAAAGCAUUACACUGGGUGGUGGAUCUAAGAAGCCUUUGACCUAGCACCUUCUUUUCUUGAUGACUUUAUCCAUAUUACCUGAAGGCCCCGUGGAAGGAAAGAUCAAUCAUGUGAUUCCACCAUCUCUUUAUAACACUGAUUCGUAAGAUCAAUUCGAACUCGACAGAAAUGGAACUGAGUGAGUUUAUGACAUAAUCCCGAUUCCGACUUAGAUUGGCACUCCGACUCGGAAUAAUCGUCAAUUUGUUUUCUUGUUGAGGUUAAACACGUUGAGGUCAAACACUUGCAUUUUGUCAUGGUUUU